CAAAUCAAGCUUGCAAUAGCAAGAAUCAGAGUCAUAGACUAUCAGUGCAAGUAACAGAUGAAUCUCCCAGGAAACCCCUGUUAAGAACUGAGUGGAGCAUUGCUAAGGGCUUAUGCAAGUGUUCCUCUGCAGAAUCAGGCCAGAUUCCCACCUGAAGGUUCAAGGAUGGCCUUUUCUGCAUCUGUGUUCUGAGUCUGUUGGAGAAGCUGUCCAUACAGCUGCUCAGUACUGCUGCUGCCUAGCACUGUGCAUCGGCCUCCACAUCAACUGUGUAGUGAUUUUAGUGCCAUUUCUGAAAUCUCAGAAGAAACAACUUCCUGGCCUAAAUAAACUUUUGUUUAAAAAAGAUAACAAAGAAUUUAAAAUGAAAGAAAGACAGCUCUGUAGGAAUUUUCUGUAAGAAUAGGGGUCUCCUUAUUAAAGGUAUUUGAGAGGUCA